rnacentral:sRNA from 1 species
AUUAGAUACCCUGGUAGUCCACGCUGUAAACGAUGAGUACUAAGUGUCGGGGUAACUCGGUACUGAAGUUAACACAUUAAGUACUCCGCCUGAGUAGUACGUACGCAAGUAUGAAACUUAAAGGAAUUGACGGGACUCCGCACAAGCGGUGGAUCAUGUUGUUUAAUUCGAAGAUACACGAAAAACCUUACCAGGUCUUGACAUACUCUGCAAAGCUAUAGAAAUAUAGUGGAGGUUAUCAGGGAUACAGGUGGUGCAUGGUUGUCGUCAGUUCGUGUCGUGAGAUGUUAGGUUAAGUCCUAAAACGAACGCAACCCCUGUCGCUAGUUGCCAGCACGUAAUGGUGGGGACUUUAGCGAGACUGCCAAUUAAACAUUGGAGGAAGGUGGGGAUAACGUCAAAUCAUCAUGCCCCUUAUGAUCUGGGCUACAAACGUGAUACAAUGGCUAUUACAAAGAGUAGCUGAAACGCGAGUUUUUAGCCAAUCUCAAAAAGGUAGUCUCAGUACGGAUUGAAGUCUGCAACUCGACUUCAUGAAGCUGGAAUCGCUAGUAAUCGCGAAUCAGCAUGUCGCGGUGAAUACGUUCUCGGGGUUUGUACACACCGCCCGUCAAACCACGAAAGUUAGCAAUACCCGAAAGCAGUGGCUUAACUUCGCAAGAAGAGGGAGCUGUCUAAGGUAGGGUUGAUGAUUGGGGUUAAGUCGUAACAAGGUAUCCUUACCGGAAGGUGAGGAUGGAUCACCUCCUUUCUAAGGACAUACAUAUAAAAAUCAUCAUCUUCAGUUUUGAAAGACUUAGGUUAAAAUAUAAGUUUUUCUUUUUAUAAAAAAAAGUGUUUCUCUUAUAUAAAAGACCAAAGGGCCUAUAGCUCAGUUGGUUAGAGCACACGCCUGAUAAGCGUGAGGUCGGUGGUUCAAGUCCACUUAGGCCCACCAAUUUUAUAUCAGGAAAAUAUUUACUUCGAAGAAAGUUCUUUGAAAAGUAGAUAAACAUGAUUUGCUUAAUUCAAUUAAUUUU